rnacentral:rRNA from 1 species
AUUGAACGCUGGCGGCAGGCCUAACACAUGCAAGUCGAGCGGGGUUUUCGGACCUAGCGGCGGACGGGUGAGUAAUGCGUAGGAAGCUACCCGAUAGAGGGGGAUACCAGUUGGAAACGACCGUUAAUACCGCAUAAUGUCUACGGACCAAAGUGUGGGACCUUCGGGCUACAUGCUAUCGGAUGCGCCUACGUGGGAUUAGCUAGUUGGUGAGGUAAUGGCUCACCAAGGCGACGAUCCCUAGCUGGUUUGAGAGGAUGAUCAGCCACACUGGAACUGAGACGCGGUCCAGACUCCUACGGGAGGCAGCAGUGGGGAAUAUUGGACAAUGGGCGCAAGCCUGAUCCAGCCAUGCCGCGUGUGUGAAGAAGGCCUUCGGGUUGUAAAGCACUUUCAGUAGGGAGGAAGCGUUGUGUGUUAAUAGUACACAGCGUUGACGUUACCUACAGAAGAAGCACCGGCUAACUCUGUGCCAGCAGCCGCAGUAACAC